rnacentral:piRNA from 1 species
UGGUCCACAAAGUUUAGAUUUUGUAAAUGU